GGAGAGUUGUCCGAGUGGCCGAAGGAGACGGUCUUGAAAACCGUUAUACCCGCAAGGGUAUCAAGGGUUCGAAUCCCUUACUCUCCG
rnacentral:tRNA from 2 species